rnacentral:rRNA from 1 species
AUUGAACGCUGGCGGCAGGCCUAACACAUGCAAGUCGAACGGUAACAGGAAACAGCUUGCUGUUUCGCUGACGAGUGGCGGACGGGUGAGUAAUGUCUGGGAAACUGCCUGAUGGAGGGGGAUAACUACUGGAAACGGUAGCUAAUACCGCAUAACGUCGCAAGACCAAAGAGGGGGACCCUCGGGCCUCUUGCCAUCGGAUGUGCCUAGAUGGGAUUAGCUUGUUGGUGGGGUAACGGCUCACCAAGGCGACGAUCCCUAGCUGGUCUGAGAGGAUGACCAGCCACACUGGAACUGAGACACGGUCCAGACUCCUACGGGAGGCAGCAGUGGGGAAUAUUGCACAAUGGGCGCAAGCCUGAUGCAGCCAUGCCGCGUGUAUGAAGAAGGCCUUCGGGUUGUAAAGUACUUUCAGCGGGGAGGAAGGGAGUAAAGUUAAUACCUUUGCUCAUUGACGUUACCCGCAGAAGAAGCACCGGCUAACUCCGUG